rnacentral:lncRNA from 1 species
AGAGGAAGCACCCCGCCAGAUAUUAACUUAAUACGUAAUGAUCAAGAUGAAAACAGAAACUUUUACUAAUUUAAACUUCCCUUGCAGAGAGAAAAGUCUAUAACAAUAUCUAUUGGUGUAGAAACUUGUAACAAAUUUGAUUGGUUAGGACAAGAAGAUACUUCUACUCAAUAAUAAAGGCCACCGCGUAUUUGUUCUUGCCUAGAUUAUGCAACCAAACUUACGAUAAACAACUUCAGUUUAGUCAACUUGACCUUUUCCUUCUUUUUGUUGUUAAUUUAUUUUCUUUGCUGCUUCUGUCUAUAUAUAUCUCAUUCUCCAGCUUUCUUCAAAUAGCUUCAAAGCAAUAUCAAUUGAAAACCAGCUUUCUUCUAUAUCUCUUUCUCCAGCUUUCUUCCAAUAUCUUCUAUACAGCCCUCUUUUUCAAGCUCUGAUUAAAGAGAAAACCAAUCAAGACUCCUGAAGAUGGUUGAUGCCUUUGUGUCAUUUGCAGUUGAAAAACUGGGUGACUUUCUCAUACAAGAAGUUGCAUUGCGCAUAAGUCUGAGAGAGGAUGUGCAGUGGCUGAGAAAUGAGCUGCUCUUCAUGCAAUCUCUCCUCAAAGAUGCAGAACAAAAGCAAGUUGAAGAUAAAAGAGUUCAACAAUGGGUAUUUGAAAUCAACUCUAUUGCUAAUGACACUGUCGCUAUACUGGAGACUUAUAUCUCCAUGGCAGGAGAAUCUGAUGACCAUGGAUUUGCUAGUCGUCUUAAGGCUUGCGCUUGCAUAUGUAGGAAGGAGACCAAAUUCUACAACAUCAGCAAGGAGAUCCAAUCCCUCAAGAAGCGAGUCAUGGAUAUCUCUCGCAAACGGGAGACGUAUGGUAUUAGAGACACCAACAAUGCAGGAGAAGGGACAAGUAAUCAGUCCGCCAUGGUCAGAACAUUGAGGAGAACUACCUCCUAUAUAGAUGACGAUCAUAUUUUUGUUGGCUUUCGGGAUGUUGUAGAAAGCUUGCUAGCUGAACUUCUCAAAGCAGAGCCUCGCCGAAGUGUCAUCUCCAUUUAUGGUAUGGGCGGGUUAGGCAAGACCACUCUUGCAAGAAACCUCUACAACUCUCCUAAUGUAGUCUCUAGCUUCCAAACACGCACUUGGAUAUGUGUUUCUCAAGAGUACAACACCAUGGAUCUCCUUAGGAAUAUCAUAAAAUCUAUCCAAGGUCGUACAAAGGAAAGUCUGGAUUUGUUGGAAAAGCUGACAGAGACGGAUCUAGAAAUUCACCUUCGGGGCCUAUUGGAAGAACGCAAAUACCUUGUGGUUAUUGAUGAUGUAUGGCAGAGAGAGGCAUGGGAAAGUUUGAAAAGAGCCUUCCCAGAUAGCAAGAAUGGCAGCAAAGUUAUUAUUACCACACGCAAGGAGGAUGUUGCUAAAAGAGCAGAUGACAAAGGUUUUGUCUAUAAACUUCGUUUCCUUAGCAAAGAAGAGAGUUGGGACCUCUUUUGCAGGAAACUACUUGAUGUUCAGGCAAUGGUCCCAGAAAUGGGAACGCUAGCUAGAGAUAUGGUGGACAAGUGUGGAGGCUUACCUCUUGCAAUUGUUGUAUUAAGCGGGCUACUUUCGCAUAAAAGGGGGCNNNNNNNNNNNNNNNNNNNNNNNNNCAUAGUUGCUUUGUAUUCAAGACCUCUGCAACUUAGCAAACUCACAAGUCUUCAAGUUCUUAAAUACAGUUGUUGUGAUCAGUGGAGAGAUGUUGAUCCCGUUGAUUUAGUGAAUCUUCAAGAAUUAGGCAUGUAUGAUAUUAUGAAUACUUACUCCCUAAAUAACAUUGGCAGCUUGAAAAACCUUAGCUCUCUCAUGUUGCGUUGUAAAGUUGAUGAAUCAUUCCCAACCCUUGAAUAUCUUCGUUCUUGUCAAAAGCUCGACAAAUUGUGGUUAGAGGGGAGAAUAGAAAAAUUGGACCAUUUUCCAAAUUCCAUCACAAUGAUGGUCCUUUGGAAGUCAGAACUCAUGGAGGAUCCCAUGCCUAUUUUGGGAAUGUUGCCAAAUCUAAGGGAUCUUGAUUUAGUAGGAGCUUAUGAAGGAAAAGAAAUUACCUGCAGUAAUAACAGCUUUUAUCAACUAGAAUUUC